rnacentral:rRNA from 1 species
UACGUAGGGGGCAAGCGUUGUCCGGAAUCAUUGGGCGUAAAGCGCGUGUAGGCGGCCCGGUAAGUCCGCUGUGAAAGUCGGGGGCUCAACCCUCGAAUGCCGGUGGAUACUGUCGGGCUAGAGUGCGGAAGAGGCGAGUGGAAUUCCUGGUGUAGCGGUGAAAUGCGUAGAUAUUGGGAAGAACACCUGAGGCGAAGGCGGGUUGCUGGGCCGACACUGACGCUGAGGCGCGAAAGCCAGGGGAGCGAACGGG